CAGUCGCCGCGGUAAUACCGAGGGUGCGAGCGUUAAUCGGAUUUACUGGGCGUAAAGCGUGCGUAGGCGGCUUCUUAAGUCGGAUGUGAAAUCCCUGAGCUUAACUUAGGAAUUGCAUUCGAUACUGGGAAGCUAGAGUAUGGGAGAGGAUGGUAGAAUUCCAGGUGUAGCGGUGAAAUGCGUAGAGAUCUGGAGGAAUACCGAUGGCGAAGGCAGCCAUCUGGCCUAAUACUGACGCUGAGGUACGAAAGCAUGGGGAGCAAACAGGAUUAGAGACCCCCGUAGUCCCUGUCUCUUAUAC
rnacentral:rRNA from 1 species